CGUCACCAGACCAGAUUUUUUCUGGAUUCUUUUAUGUGAAAGGAAAAUAAACUUCUAUGUUGCUUAAUCCUGGUAUUUUGCAUUGUUCUGUCACAUGCAGCCAAACUGACAUGGGUUCUAAGAUUUACCUUUUCUGUCCACACAUCUUAGAGAGAAGGUAAUUUUAUCCUUGCCUGUUCCAAUGCAGUGUAAAUGGAUCUUUAUUCUUCAUAGGUUUAUUCCCUGAUUAAUGGGGACAGUUUGAAUUAAAUUCUCUCUCAUUAAAAUGAGUACUCUUUCAAAUAGUACCUAGAUAGUCGUUGUGUAUCCAUUUCUCCCUAGUCAGCUCUUGUACUUAGGAGAAAGCUGAUCCUUAGCUUUGGGGUGUUUCCUUUCGGUUUGUGUCAAUUAACAUAAAAGAUAACUGUGCACCAGCGGCCCGUGACCUAAGCAUGAGCUGUUCCUGCAGCCAACAUAGAAUUAGUAAUCUGCAAAAGACAUAGUGACGAGACAGCAUCUCUUAGCAUCUGGGUCAAGAAAACUUGUACUUUAUUCCUCAAUUGGACUUCCAGGUACUGUCUAGAAGGGGUCCAGUAGAACCAGAAGAGUUUUCUCAGAGAGGAAGCAACAUUUUACAACUGAAUCUACACUACAUAUACAGAAGAGUCCAAAGUUGGAAACCUAAGCAAUCCAAGAAAUCGCUGUCCCUACAGAAGUUAAACAAUAGGAUACUUUCUCUCCUGCUUUAAUAAAUGGUUGUUAUCUUGCUCUGAAGAUAAUUGAAGCAGUGGACAUCUCAUAUCCUUUUCUACUUAUUGGGCUAGAGUCAGAGUCACCCUGACUCUGACUUAUUUUUUAAUUGAUAAGCUCUUCAAGUCAGAGAGAACUUGGUGCAACUCCAGGCUCUCCUAAUUAUUUAUGGAAAUAAAUAAAUAUGGACAAGUCCAUUACUAAGUCUGUAAAAUCGAGAAAAUAUGAUAAACCAUGCAUGAUUAUAUUGAGUAUUUAAUAAAGGAUCUUUGGUACCAGGCACUUAGUAGGCUAUGGCUGUUGCUAUGUCACUCCCAUGCUGUCUACUCUUAAAAGGACUCCUUAGGUAGAAUUAAUUAAUUGUGGCUAAUAAUCUGGGUCAGAUUAUGGAAAGUGAAACGUCUGGAAGAAGGAGAAAAUUGUGGUUGUCUCCAGUGAAAUCUAUUUUUUGUGACCUCCCCUUGCCAGAAGUACCAAGUGGUAGACACAUAUGUGUGACAUUGUAAAACAGGCAAUCAAUUCAUCUCUUGCUACAUCUGAUGCAUAAAAUCAAGUAGAAGCACAUAGACCUAAGCACAGAUUUAGGGUUGAUAAAAAAAAAAAGGCACUUUUAUUGAAGUGAUUUAUGGGCCUUUUGGAUAGGAAAUGUUAAAGAAAGGGGCAGCUUAAGUCAUUUUAAUUAUUUAUGAUUUUAUUGUACCAGCGGAAGUCUCCGGUUCGCUCUAACUUGGAGAUGCUUCUACUAAUGCUGAAGGAAAAAAUCUCGUGAUAAUGGAAGACUCAAUUCUUGUGUUGUUAACUGAAAACAUUACUCACGCUCAUCAAAGUAGUUCACGGAAGUCAUUUAAUGUGGUUGUCUUUUCAGUUGAAAGUAUGCUGACUCUGUUGAUGGUUUCUGCUAAUGCAUAGGACACAAAUAGCAGGCAUGUCUUCAUUUGUGAGUCUUUGUCAUUAUCUGCAUUGAUGGUUUUCUUAAAUUUUAAUUUUCCCAUUUAGUAGAUAAAUAUUUAGCACUGAACCCCAAUACUGUCCCUGGCACUAAAAAGACUUCCUCCAUGGAACUCUAAUAGACCUCAAAGGUAAGAGCUGCAGCCCCACUAGCUCAGGGUUCAAUUAAAUAGGUAAUCAAUCAGAAAGGAAUGACUUUGUUCCAGACAGGGAUGCUCACACUUGGGUUAAUCAUAAGAAUGAAGAUGCCUCUGCGUUCCACACUUUCCUCAUCAGCCACACAGGCAUAAUUAUCCUGGUGCUGCCGGCUUUACAAGCAAUUUGCGGGAAUCAAAUGAGUUAAUGCACUUGUGAUUUCUCUGAGAAGCGGAAGCAUCUGAAAGAAUGUCAUUAAUUUUCCUGUCUGGAUUUCACUCUUCUCACUUGUUAUCAGUUCCCUUGGCUGUGUGGUCCUCAGCACAGACAUGCAUAUGCAUAUGUGUUUUUGCAUGUGAGAAGGUGAGAAAAAAAGGAAGUGAUGGGAAGAGGGACCAAGAUUUAGGACCUGCAAUACUGUACUUAAGAGAGGGACCAAGAUUUAGGACCUGCAAUACUGUACUUAAACUAAUAAUAGUUCUUUAACACAAAGGAUUUCUUUUGCACACUUCCACUUAGUUUGGUUCUUCUUAUCAAGUUGGACAGAUGUUUUUCAAUGUCUGGGAGGAAGAGUAAGUGGCCUUAUAAAUGUGGAAGUCUUUGCUGGCCUGGGAAUACUCAAGCCAGCUCUAUGCAGUAGUUGUAGCCUCCUUUCUUCAUUCUUUCUACCAGCUUAUGGUUUUUCCUUUCAGUUCUAGCUCAUCAGCUUUCAGGUGCAUAUAAUGAAUAUUUACGACUAUUACUACCAUUACUGUCAGGGAACCUAUAUGCUUUAUAAUUGUGAUGACUGCAAUUAUUAAUGAGAUAAUACCUUGGCUGAUGAUGAUAAACAAAAUUUGGUUUUAAUCUAAGGGCAUUCUAACGCUUUCAAGUCAGGCACAGGUGUAGUGGAAAGAACCCCUGACCUGGAGUAGGUCACCUGGCUCUGUCCCGGUUGUGCCAGUAAUUAGAUAUGUAUUCUUGGACGCUCUUUUAACUUCUGUGGGCCUCCAAUGUCCCAUCUCUAAGAUGAAAAUGAUUUUUACAGCUCUGAAAAUUCAGUGAAGCUGUGGAAAUGCUAUGAUUCUAUGUAGAGUACGUCAAAACAGUUCAUGUUAGUGCCUCCAGGAUUCCCAGCCCAAACUGGCAAGUGGCCAGAUGUGUCAGCAGUUCCUUUCUGUCCCGCUUGGUGGCUGUUGUGCCCUUGUGUUGUCCAAGGUACCAUCGUCUGAUCACUGCCUUAGCUGCCCAGGAAUCCUGUCCUCCUCUUCCUGCAAACUGCACUGGCUUGUAGAUCACACCCUUUCUCUGUGUCUCACCCUGACUCUGUGCCUAGUCCUGUGUUGUGUGCUCUUGGGGCCUCUUUGUUAAGGCAAUUCUCUUUGAAAUUCAAACCAAAGCAUCAUUGCUUCAGUUUUUCUUUUUUAAAAAAGGACUUUGCAUUUUAAGUCUUUAGAUUAUCAGACCCAAAGAGUGACUAAUGCGAAUAAUGAAAUUUCAGAGAUGAGCCUGGGUUAGGGGCAGUAGAAGUGGUGUGGAUGACUCUGGAUACCAUUGAGUGGCACCAUGCAGGUUACUGAUUGGGUAUUUGAUAAAAGGUAGAGCUGUGUCAGUCAAUGGAUCUCCAGUUGAGAAAACGUAGGGAAAAAUGGUCAUCGUAAAAUUGAAAUUAUAUCAGAUAUAGGCAGAAAAAUAUACCUUAAGGGAAAUAAAAAUUUCUUCCCAUAUGUAUUUUUUUACUUUUUAGACUUUCCUGUUUCUAGGAAGAUUACUUUGUGAGUUGCAUCUUUCGGGAUCACUAUAAGCAACCUAAUGAAAUAGGAAAGACAGCCCAAAGGGAGAAGUGACUGUUUACACAUGCUGUGGUACACAUGAAUCUCCAUGUACUCACAUAGAGUGUAAGGAGCCAGACCAAAAUAUCUAUAUAAAACAUAACGUGUGUCAGAAACGUACCCAAUUCUAGAAAAUACAAUUCUAUCGUGUCGGAAAGCAGAUCUGUAGUUGCCUGGGAGAAAAAAGGGUGGGCAUUACAAAGGUGGGCAUGAGAAUAUUAGGACAGGUGAUGGAUGUGUGGUAUUCAUGAUUUGAUUGUAAAUUUCCUGGUGCACACAAUUCAGUACUCAUUAAAUGUACGAUUAUUUUAGUUUUUCCUCCCACCCCCAUCCCCAGGCAACUACAUAUCCGCGUACCACAGCAUGUGUAAAUUGUUGCGCUUAUGGCUGUGUAGUUUUCCCUUGCGUGAGGAUACAACAAUUUGCUUAUCCAUCUGUUGAUGGACAUUGUAUUAGUUUUUUAGCAAAACUAACAAAAUGUCACCGAGUGCUUUAAAAAACAGACGUUUAUUUUUCACAGUUCGAGAGGCUAGAAGUCUGAGAUUAGCAGGUGUUGGCAGGUUUGGUUUCUCCCGAGGCCGCUCUCCUCGGCUUUCAGACGUCUUUGCAUGGUCUUUUCUCUGUGUGUGCAUCGCUGAUGUCUCUUCGUGUAUCCAAAUGUCCUCUUCUGGAGGAGGAACCAGCCUAAUAGCUUCAUUUUAACUUAAUCACCCUUUUAAAGGCCCUAUUUCCAAAUAGGCACAUUCUGAGGGAUUGGGGUCCAGAGCUUCAAUAUACACACUUUGGGUAGAUACAGUUCAGCCCUUGACAGACAUUUGGGUUGUUUCCAGUGUUUGCUUAUUACAAAUAAAGUUUCUAUAAUUAUAUCUGUAAAAGUGUAUAUGUGGACAUAUGCUUACAUUCCUCUUGCAUAAGUAUCUAGGAGUGAAAUUGCUGCAUCUAAUGGUAGUUUGUUUAUUUAUUUAUUUGAGACAGAGUCUUGCUCUUGUUGCCCAGGCUGGAGUGCAGUGGCUCUAUCUCAGCUCACUGCAACCCCUGCCCCCUGUCCAAGCAAUUCUCCUGCCUCAGCCUCCUGAGUAUUUGGGAUUAUAAGUGCCUGCCACCGCACCCGGCUAAUAUUUGUAUUUUUAGUAGAGAUGGCGGUCUCACCAGGUUGGCCAGGCUGGUCUCGAACUCCUGACCUCAAGUGAUCCACCCACCUCAGCCUCCCAAAGUGCUGGGAUUACAGGCAUGAGCCACCAUGCCCAGCCAGUUUAUGUUUUAUUUUUAUAAAACUGUCAAACCUUUUCAAAACAGUCCUUCCAUUUUUGAUUUUCAUCAACACUGUGUGACCAUUCCAGUUAUCUUGACAACAUUUGGCAUUAUCGGCCUUUAAAAAUGUUAGACCUCCUGGUGUAGUGGUCCCUUCUUUAUAGUUCUGCUGUGCACAUCUGUGAUAACUAAUGAUGUUGAGCAUCUUUGUACAUGUUGUGUGCCAUAUUUAUAUAAUAUUUUGAUUAAGUAUCUGCUAAAAUAUAUAUUUUUAAUUGGAUUUUACCAUUUAAAAAGUUAUUUGUAUAUUCUUUGUGUAUUCCCAGAUAGAAGUACUUAGUCAUACUUAGCAUAUAUUUCCCACAGUGUGUGGCUUACCUUUUCAUUUUCUAAAGUGUCUUUUGAAGAGAAAGUUUUUUUAGUCUUGAUGAAAUUUAUCAGUCCUUUUCUCUUAAAAUUCAUGCCUUGUUAUUUUGCUUGCCACUCAUCGAGGUUCUUGGUUCUGGAAGCUUAUAAUUUUCAUUACAUUUGGAUAAUUUUUAACCAUCAGAUUUUCAAGUGUGUUUUUAUGCUCCAUCUGGCACUCCAGUUACAGAUAUAGCAUACCUUUUUACAUUGUCCCUUUUUCUCUAGCUCCCUUGUGUUUAUUUCUGAUCAUGUGUAUUGCUGCGUUUUCUAAUGUAUUGCUCUUUCAUUAUACAAUGUCUAAUCUGCUGAUAGUCCUGUCAAAUGUAUUUUUCUGCAGAUGUUCAACCUGGGCUUUAAAAUAUCUUUUGUGUCCCUCCUUCACAUGUUCAUGCCUUCCUACACCUUCUUGAACAUACAGAAGAAAGGCAUAGUGACUGGAAAUGUCCUUGUCUACAAAUAUUGUUAUCGUUAUCAUUUCUGGGUCUAUUUCUAUUGGCUAAUAAUUUUCUUUAUUAUGGGUUAUUUCCUGAUGCUUUGCAGAACUGGUAAUUUUUGACUGAAUGCCCAACAUUGUGAUUUUAUGUUGCCAAUUCUGGGAAUUUUUUUAUUCUUAUAAAUAUAUAUGAGUUACUUUCUAGAGCACAGUUACGUUCCGUGGAAACAGUCUGAUUAUUUUACAGUUUGCUCUUAAACUUUCUUAGGCAAUAGCAGUACAGCCUGUAAUGGAAGACUAAUUCGGUGGCACUGCCAAGGGAUAAUAGUGAGCUGAAGAAACUCCAGCCUCUCCAGAAUG
rnacentral:lncRNA from 10 species